GACGAACGCUGGCGGCGUGCCUAAUACAUGCAAGUCGAACGCACAGUCUAUACCUUUGCUUGCUUCACCAUAGACUGUGAGUUGCGAACGGCUGAGUAACGCGUAGCUUACCUGCCUGGUAGCGUUGGAUAACUAUUGGAAACGAUAGCUAAUAUCUCAUAAUAUUAAUUAUUGCAUGAUAAUUAAUUGAAAUGUGCAAUUUCAUCACUACCUGAUGGCCCUGUGUUGUAUUAGCUAGUAGGUGAGGUAACGGCUCACCUAGGGGACGAUAGAUAGCCGACCUGGGAGGGGGGUAGGCCACACUGGGACUGGGACACGGCCCAGACUGCUACGGGGAGGAGCAGGAAGGAAACGUCGGGAAUGGACGGAAAGCUGAACGAACAACGCCGCGGGAGGGAAGAAGGUUGUCGGAUCGGAAAGCUCGGUUGUAAGGGGAGAAAGGGUGUGGGAAUGGAAAGUGCACACUGUGACGGUAUCUGACCAGAAAGCGACGGCUAACUACGUG
rnacentral:rRNA from 1 species